GACGAACGCUGGCGGCGUGCUUAACACAUGCAAGUCGAACGGAAAGGCCCUGCUUGCAGGGUACUCGAGUGGCGAACGGGUGAGUAACACGUGGGUGAUCUGCCCUGCACUUCGGGAUAAGCCUGGGAAACUGGGUCUAAUACCGGAUAGGAGCCAUUUUUAUUGUGAUGGUUGGAAAGUUUUUUUCGGUGUAGGAUGAGCUCGCGGCCUAUCAGCUUGUUGGUGGGGUAAUGGCCUACCAAGGCGGCGACGGGUAGCCGGCCUGAGAGGGUGGACGGCCACAGUGGGACUGAGAUACGGCCCAGACUCCUACGGGAGGCAGCAGUGGGGAAUAUUGCACAAUGGGCGCAAGCCUGAUGCAGCGACGCCGCGGGGGGGAUGACGGCCUUCGGGUUGUAAACUCCUUUCGCUAGGGACGAAGCUUUUUGUGACGGUACCUAGAGAAGAAGCACCGGCUAACUACGUG
rnacentral:rRNA from 1 species